UCAAAGUCACCGUGAAGUAUAUCGUAAAUUCAAAAUUUUUCAUAGUGACUGAAAAUGACAGAAGUACGGUAUCACCAUAAUUUUCUUGUGAUUAUUAUUGGAACUGUGUACUUCAUGGUAAAAUGAAAAUCCAAACCAAAACGAACAAUGGUAAACUUUUGGUUUUUCUACUCAUUCUCAAUUAAUCGUGUAGAAAUUUAUUUUUGAGUGCGCGCCAUUUUGGGGGUAAUUUUUUCAGCGAUUUCAAAAUAUCUUGGAUGAUGCCGUUCCAUGGCUCCGGUUGCAGGAAGCGGCUCUUGACAAAGCCUCCGGCCAAAUUUCCCCGGAGACGGCAGUGGAUAACGAUAGCCGUCGGAAAUGUACCGUGUUAGUCGAUUCUCGCGGAGGACGACCUCGGAAAGGAUCAUGUUCUACUGGCGAAUACAAAUGACAAGUCCGGGAGCAUCUGUAGCUGAUGGAUUUUCUGUCCAUACACAGGCAGCAUGAAAGGCAGCUGGCGGUCCACCAAGACGGAAACAAAUUUGGAAUCACGCACCAUUUGCAGCAGGUCGGAGCUGUACACAUUUAAAACGGGAUCGAGGUGCAGAAAUCUGUGAAUUGUGAAAAAUUGUUUUAAGUGAAAAGUGCGAAAAUAUUGGUUAAAAGAAGAAACAUUGUGAAAAUGAUGUUCCACAUCAAUAUUGUGUUUUUUUAUUUCGAUUUUUAACAAGAAACUAACAAUUGAAACAAUAUUAACCAGUUUGCUAAAGUUAUUUCUUGUUUUGGAGAAUAUUAUUCCUGAUUGAUCGUGUUUGUGACAAACAUAAACCAAGCACGACGAAUCAUGAAUAAAAUUCUUUGAAAUGAGCGAUAACUUAAGCAACAUAUU